rnacentral:tRNA from 1 species
GGUUCAAGUCCCUCUCUUUCUG